rnacentral:rRNA from 1 species
AACGCGAAGAACCUUACCUACCCUUGACAUCCUGCGAAUCCCGAUGAGAGUUGGGAGUGCCGAAAGGAACGCAGAGACAGGUGCUGCAUGGCUGUCGUCAGCUCGUGUUGUGAGAUGUUGGGUUAAGUCCCGUAACGAGCGCAACCCUUGUCCUUAGUUGCCAGCAUUAAGUUGGGGACUCUAAGGAGACUGCCGGUGAUGAACCGGAGGAAGGCGGGGACGACGUCAAGUCAUCAUGGCCUUUAUGGGUAGGGCUACACACGUGCUACAAUGGGGCGUACAGAGGGAAGCCAACUCGCGAGAGGGAGCCAAUCUCAGAAAGCGCCUCGUAGUCCGGAUUGGAGUCUGCAACUCGACUCCAUGAAGUUGGAAUCGCUAGUAAUCGCGAAUCAGCAAACGUCGCGGUGAAUACGUUCCCGGGCCUUGUACACACCGCUCGCGA